rnacentral:rRNA from 1 species
UUGACCUCGGAUCAGGUAGGACUACCCGCUGAACUUAAGCAUAUCAAUAAGCGGAGGAAAAGAAACCAACAGGGAUUGCCCCAGUAACGGCGAGUGAAGCGGCAACAGCUCAAAUUUGAAAUCUGGCCUUCGGGUCCGAGUUGUAAUUUGGAGAGGAUGCUUCUGGCGCGGCGCCGUCCGAGUUCCUUGGAACAGGACGCCAUAGAGGGUGAGAGCCCCGUACGGGCGGCCGCCU